CGUUAAGUACCGAAGGUCAUGAGUUCACACUGCCAAGAAAAGCUUCUAGCCAGGCGAAGGUGCCCGUACCGCAAACCGACACAGGUGGGUGAGAAGAGAAUUCUAAGGCGCGCGGAAGAACUCUCGUUAAGGAACUCGGCAAAAUGACCCCGUAACUUCGGGAGAAGGGGUGCCUCGGUAGGGUGAAUAGCCCGAGGGGGCCGCAGUGAAAAGGCCCAAGCGACUGUUUAGCAAAAACACAGGUCUGUGCGAAGCCGCAAGGCGAAGUAUACGGGCUGACGCCUGCCCGGUGCUGGAAGGUUAAGAGGAGUGGUUAGGGGCAACCCGAAGCUAUGAAUUGAAGCCCCAGUAAACGGCGGCCGUAACAAUAACGGUCCUAAGGUAGCGAAAUUCCUUGUCAGGUAAAUUCUGACCCGCACGAAUGGCGUAACGACUUGGGCGCUGUCUCAACGAGAGAUCCGGUGAAAUUUUAAUACCUGUGAAGAUGCAGGUUACCCGCGACAAGACGGAAAGACCCCAUGGAGCUUUACUGCAGCUUGAUAUUGGACUUUGGUACGAUCUGUACAGGAUAGGUGGGAGCCUUUGAAGCCUGAGCGCCAGCUUGGGUGGAGGCAUCGUUGGGAUACCACCCUGAUCGUAUCGGAGUUCUAACCUAGUACCGUGAUCCGGUAUGGGGACAGUGUCAGGUGGGCAGUUUGACUGGGGCGGUCGCCUCCUAAAAUGUAACGGAGGCGUUUAAAGGUUCCCUCAGAAUGGUUGGAAAUCAUUCGUAGAGUGCAAAGGCAUAAGGGAGCUUGACUGCGAGACCUACAAGUCGAGCAGGGACGAAAGUCGGACUUAGUGAUCCGGUGGUACCGAAUGGAAGGGCCAUCGCUCAACGGAUAAAAGCUACCCUGGGGAUAACAGGCUUAUCUCCCCCAAGAGUCCACAUCGACGGGGAGGUUUGGCACCUCGAUGUCGGCUCAUCGCAUCCUGGGGCUGAAGUAGGUCCCAAGGGUUGGGCUGUUCGCCCAUUAAAGCGGUACGCGAGCUGGGUUCAGAACGUCGUGAGACAGUUCGGUCCCUAUCUGUCGCGGGCGUAGGAAAUUUGAGAGGAGCUGUCCUUAGUACGAGAGGACCGGGAUGGACGUACCGCUGGUGUACCAGUUGUCUCGCCAGAGGCAUCGCUGGGUAGCUAUGUACGGAGGGGAUAAGCGCUGAAAGCAUCUAAGCGCGAAGCCCCCCUCAAGAUGAGAUUUCCCAGUAUGUAAGACCCCUUGUAGACGACGAGGUUGAUAGGUUCGAGGUGGAAGUGCGGCAACGUAUGCAGCUGACGAAUACUAAUCGGUCGAGGGCUUAAUC
rnacentral:rRNA from 1 species